rnacentral:rRNA from 1 species
UACGUAGGGUGCGAGCGUUGUCCGGAAUUAUUGGGCGUAAAGGGCUCGUAGGCGGUUUGUCGCGUCAGGAGUGAAAACUCGGGGCUCAACCCCGAGCCUGCUUCUGAUACGGGCAGACUAGAGGUAUGCAGGGGAGAACGGAAUUCCUGGUGUAGCGGUGAAAUGCGCAGAUAUCAGGAGGAAUACCGGUGGCGAAGGCGGUUCUCUGGGCAUUACCUGACGCUGAGGAGCGAAAGUGUGGGGAGCGAACAGG